UUUCAGGGAGCAGCCUGGCUGUCUGGGUGGCGGCCAGGUCCGCCCGAGCGCAGAGCGCUGAAUUCCAACCAGCCCCGGGAGCGCUCUGCUGGGAAACCUCAUUCUGGAAAACCGGAGUCCAACGGCGACUUUCCACCAGAAGCCAAGGGCGGAAAUGACCCCGGGGACCGAGGUUGGGCUAAGGAGUGAGCCAGCGGAGCUCACGGGGGAGGGGCUGGGGACAUUUCUUGGCUGUGCUGCUGCCUAGAAACUUUUUCUUGCCCUGCGACCAACUUGAGGCUGAACUCUGAGAAAAACGACAGCUCCCUGGAAGCCUUUCUCCUGUAAGAAUGGCCAGAUGUGUGUGUGUCGUCGUUUCUCUCUCUGUUUCUUCCCACAGAGCGCACGCUGCAUCCAGGACAACUAUGCGUCGCGUGCGCGGCACCAAAUAGGCGCCCAGGAAACCCCCGCUUCGUGAACGAGAAAGUUGGGCUUUUAAAAAGAAGGCACCAAGUUGAACCUAGAACCUUGGUGAUUUCCUGUUUGGGUGGAGUUUGAUUCCAACGGGGCCUGAGCUUUACAAAGAGGAAUUUUUCUGGCGCUCCGGGAGGGAGCGGCCCCCACUCUGAACUUUUGCCCUGAGCCGGGUGUGAAAGGAGUCCACGCAAGUGAAUCCCUGGAGGACACAGGGUCAGCGCUCUCCCGAGAUCCUGCGAGGGAACUAAUACUCCCCACCCCACGUUCCCUUUGACAAAGAGGGAGGCGGAGAGGGAAGCAGGCCUGAACUCCUGGCUCCUCCGCAUAAUGACCUGAUGGGAGAAGGAAGCCUGUUUCACUGAAGAGGCGCCCCACCCUCUUGAAUGUUCGGGAAAAUACAUCUCUGCCUUGCGCUGCUUGUGCAGGCAGCAAAGCUUCCCAUGCACGUUGAUCCUCGGCUUUACCUCCUUCCAUUGCUGGAGUCAAGACCCCCCAGACACACUUGGUGGGUUCGGAUCGGGGUUCUUCCCACCUGUGUGUGGUUUCGUGGGUGAUCCUUGCAGCCUUUGCCAGCCGCUCAUCUGUAAAUGAAGACAGCCAUUGGGCCUUCUCCAUGGCGCCAUUGUAUGGCUUUAAGUGAAGUCAAGUAUAGAACCUGCUUAGAACAGCCAGCCCCAUAACAGAGUGCAAUGUGUUUGCUAGAAAUAUACUUUCUUCUUGGUUCCAGGAGCACCCUGGGGUGGGUUCCAGACUGUUCACGAGUGAGACAAAAAUAGCCAAGUGUGGGAAAGGAAGAUACCAGAAAAGGGCCUUUUUCGGGAUGAUAGGAUUGCCGGCUGGGUAUGGGGAGGGGCGUUUUUUAGGGUUUCUUGACCCACCUCCUUCUUUUUAUCUGGAAUUAAACCUUAACUGAUCUCCAGUUCCAGAGAAACGUUUCAGCUUCUACGUCAUGGUCAGUGGAUGAAGGAGUCAGACACUGAACCGUGGUACCUGCACAGUAAGGGUAGAGAGCUGGUUUGCAUUUUCCCGGCCCGCAAAGGACAGGGGCAUGAAGGCGUCACAAGUCUUGUGCCUUCCAUUCCCCCCCACCCCUGGGGUCGUGCUCCCUGAGUGGACUCUUGUCUGGCCUCAAUUCAGGGAGCAAUAUGCCUAACUCGAUGGGAGAUUAACUAAGCACAUUUUCCCUGCCCUAUGAAGGUCAAGGGCAAAACUAUGUGGAAGUCAGAUAUCAAGUGUGAAUGGGGUUGAAGCGGGAGAGUGGCAAUGCUGCAGGCAGGAUUGGCCAAUCAGAUGCCCCGCUCCUCAGGUUUGUCUACCUCUCCUUUUCCCUCCCAGAAUCGAGCCUCUCCCUUCUGCUCCUGCUCCGGCUCCGAAUCUCCACAUCUCGGCUCCUGGCUUCCCCACCAGCCUCUUGUACAUCCCCUCAAUUCACACCAGCUUAUUCCCAGCUGCUGUCAACGAGGCUCCAUCCUUUGGUUUCAAGCCUCUCGUUGCAAACCCAUCGCCCCUUUCCAUUUCUCCUCCCCUCGAAUGUCCCCGGGGCCUCAUGGUUUCUUUCUUAGACUCUUGCAAACAGGCUCCUGCCCUGUCUCUGUUACCAAUAUGGCCCAUUUCAGGACCCACCCUGUGUUUUGACGUCAUCAGAACCCUCGCCCGAGUGAUCGCUGUAGCAUUCGGAUACAACCCUGCUGCCCUCAUGGCUGAAGAGCCUCCCUAACUUCACCUUGCCUCUGGAUUAGCUCGCUCCUGAUGUGACUUUUCAUGGUCUGGCUUCCGUCUCCUUUGCCAGCCUCAUCUUCCACCUCCUUUAUAUGACACCCCCUCCCCCCAGUGUUCACCCAAUGAUGCUCUCUCAUCAUUAAUGUUUCUAUCUCUCUCUCCCUUUCCCUUCCUCUCUGAAAUCAAUAAAAAAGAAAGGAAAAUGAUCUGAAGGAUACAUUACAAACUGUUAAAAUUUGACUAUGUUUUUUGCUCCAAGUCACUAAUCAUCGGACAAAUGCAAAUCAAAACGACCACGUUUUAUAUGACUGGGGGGUCAUAUAAAGCAGAGGUGGGAGGUGAGGCUGGAAAAGUUGAGCGUAAAUGCAUGGAGGUUGGUUAUAUUAUUCUCCAUACUGUUCUGUAUACUUAACAAUGUUUCAUUUAAAAUGUCAUAUGUGUAAUUGUUGCAUUAUUGUACCUAAUUUGAUCAUUUUUCAAAAAUAUUUCCGUUUAAGGUAUGUUUGCAGGUCAGAAAAUUGUAAUUGUGAAAUGCUCUGAAAUGUAAAAAAAAAAAAAAAACAACAACAACAAAAAAAACAAGCUAUAAGUAAAAUCGACUAAAUCCAAAAAAACAGAAACAAAAGUUGAUUUACCUGUGGCCUCAUAUCCUGGCUUUUGCUAUCUUCUUAAAGAGAUGGUUGAACCAACGUGUUGAGCUUUGAUAUUAAGAAUAAACAGGUUAAUAAAGAUCAGCAGUCAAGAAA